rnacentral:rRNA from 7 species
UUUUGACCUCGGAUCAGGUAGGGAUACCCGCUGAACUUAAGCAUA